UGGGACUUGCUCACAGCUAAAUGGAUGGCUCAUGGUCUCUUGUUUCUUUAAAGUGUACUUGCCACAGAAAAGAAAUAAGAGGUUUUCAGUUUGUGAGAGUAGAGGAAACCUUUCAGGUAUAUUUUUGCUUUUUUGAAUAUGUUGGACAAAGGGACACAAGGAGUUUUGUAAUGGUGAAGAUGGAGUGAGGAUUCUUUGUCUUCAGUGGAACUAUUUUGACUUUCAACAAUUGAGGAAGAGGAAUGUUCCUAAAGGCUGCAAUAUGACCAAGAGUUAUGCAGUACCUGUUCUAAAAGAGGAUAUGGCAAACUCCUCAAGCCUGAAGAAACCCAUCAUAGCUUGUGUCAGCUAAGCCCUGUUGGGUUUCUGUUUGUAGGCAGUUGAAUACGUGAAACUGCUGUCUGCUAAA